GAUGAAGAACGUAGCGAAAUGCGAAAAGUAAUGUGAAUUGCAGAAUUCAGUGAAUCAUCGAAUCUUUGAACGCACAUUGCGCCCGCCAGUAUUCUGGCGGGCAUGCCUGUUCGAGCGUCAUUUCAACCAUCAAGCCCCAGGCUUGUGUUGGGGACCUGCGGCUGCCGCAGGCCCUGAAAACCAGUGGCGGGCUCGCUGUCACACCGGGCGUAGUAGAUUUUAUCUCGCUCUGGGCGUGCUGCGGGUUCCGGCCGUUAAAAAACCCUUUUAACCCAAGGUUGACCUCGGAUCAGGUAGGAAUACCCGCUGAACUUAAGCAUAUCAAUAAGCGGAGGA
rnacentral:misc_RNA from 1 species